rnacentral:rRNA from 1 species
UAGGGAAUCUUCGGCAAUGGGGGGAACCCUGACCGAGCAACGCCGCGUGAGUGAAGAAGGUUUUCGGAUCGUAAAGCUCUGUUGUUAAGGAAGAACGAGUGUGAGAAUGGAAAGUUCAUACUGUGACGGUACUUAACCAGAAAGGGACGGCUAACUACGUGCCAGCAGCCGCGGUAAUACGUAGGUCCCGAGCGUUGUCCGGAUUUAUUGGGCGUAAAGCGAGCGCAGGCGGUUAGAAAAGUCUGAAGUGAAAGGCAGUGGCUCAACCAUUGUAGGCUUUGGAAACUGUUUAACUUGAGUGCAGAAGGGGAGAGUGGAAUUCCAUUUGUAGCGGUGAAAUGCGUAGAUAUAUGGAGGAACACCGGUGGCGAAAGCGGCUCUCUGGUCUGUAACUGACGCUGAGGCUCGAAAGCGUGGGGAGCGAACAGG